rnacentral:rRNA from 1 species
GACGAACGCUGGCGGCGUGCCUAAUACAUGCAAGUAGAACGCUGAAGGAGGAGCUUGCUUCUCUGGAUGAGUUGCGAACGGGUGAGUAACGCGUAGGUAACCUGCCUGGUAGCGGGGGAUAACUAUUGGAAACGAUAGCUAAUACCGCAUAAUAGUAGAUGUUGCAUGACAUUUGCUUAAAAGGUGCAAUUGCAUCACUACCAGAUGGACCUGCGUUGUAUUAGCUAGUUGGUGAGGUAACGGCUCACCAAGGCGACGAUACAUAGCCGACCUGAGAGGGUGAUCGGCCACACUGGGACUGAGACACGGCCCAGACUCCUACGGGAGGCAGCAGUAGGGAAUCUUCGGCAAUGGACGGAAGUCUGACCGAGCAACGCCGCGUGAGUGAAGAAGGUUUUCGGAUCGUAAAAGCUUCUGUUGUAAAGAAGAAAG